GUGGGGAAUUUUGGACAAUGGGGGCAACCCUGAUCCAGCAAUGCCGCGUGCAGGAAGAAGGCCUUCGGGUUGUAAACUGCUUUUGUACGGAACGAAAAGGCUCUGGUUAAUACCUGGGGCACAUGACGGUACCGUAAGAAUAAGCACCGGCUAACUACGUGCCAGCAGCCGCGGUAAUACGUAGGGUGCAAGCGUUAAUCGGAAUUACUGGGCGUAAAGCGUGCGCAGGCGGUGCUGUAAGACAGGCGUGAAAUCCCCGGGCUUAACCUGGGAAUGGCGCUUGUGACUGCAGUGCUGGAGUGUGGCAGAGGGGGAUGGAAUUCCGCGUGUAGCAGUGAAAUGCGUAGAUAUGCGGAGGAACACCGAUGGCGAAGGCAAUCCCCUGGGCCUGCACUGACGCUCAUGCACGAAAGCGUGGGGAGCAAACAGGAUUAGAAACCCGGGUAGUCC
rnacentral:rRNA from 1 species